GGGGGUGUAGCGCAGUGGUAGCGCGUCCGCUUUGCAUGCGGAAGCGGCGCCGUUCGAAAUCCAGCUCCG